UCGUGAGAAAACACAGUAUGAUCUGUAAUUUCUUCAGUGCACGCAAGUCCGAACUUACCACAUGCAACUGGCAACUUUUUGCUACACCAAUCAACCUCACCUUGGUCAUCGGGAUCAGGCUCCAGCCAGGUGAUUUUCAAUUUAAAUCCAGGGCCUAAUACUUUCCUGAUACAUGCAUAGCGUCUUGGCAUGCCAUCUGCUGGAUCAUAAAGAACCCAUGUUUGAUCGGCUUUAAAAGGCCGCUGUUCCACAGCUUUACCGAGCACAAAAAUUGAAUAGUAGACUUCAGAGAGUGCAAGUAAUUUAGAAAUUUUCUCAUCCUCAGGGAAGAGUCGGUGAGCUACUCGUGCCAUUUUCCUUGCUCCAGCAAAAUCAUUCUCUUGAAUCUUCAAUUUUGAAAGUUGCAUUGCCCUGAUUGCCUCCCCUUUGUUCCUCUCCAUCACUGAUCUAGAAUUAAGAAUCACCUACGUUCUCUCACACGACACACACCAACAAAAAACAAAAAGUUCGAAUAAAAAUCUACCCCUGCUUGUCCAAAUUCCAGUCACCCAUAAUCCUCAAACUGCUCAAAUACAAAUCAAGCGAGUAAAGUCAGACAUCCCACCAGUACGUAGUUAUCUAAAAAACAUGCAACAAAGCCAAUCACCAUUCUAUAACUGUCAAUAACUGUCAUCAACAUUACCUGGCAAAAGUAUGAGCAAAUCAUCUAAAAGAUUCAGGACAUCCCCAUUGACACAAAAGCGCCACCUAAACCCGAAGCGGAAACACGAGCUCUGAAACCUGGAGACCAAAUCCAUAUGUAAAACAGUGAACCAGUGUUCAUAAUGUUGCAUACAUUUAUAACACGUGCACACACACAAGCAUACAUCUUUUUUUGUGUGGUCAACAUAAGCAUACAUCUAUACUGCAGUUUUAUGCAUAAACAAAUCCAUUAGGAACACACUCCCAAUAAAUCCAAUGUCUUUUACAAUCUUAUUCUAAACCCUCUUUCUCCAAAGUAAGAAGAAAACUGAAAUUCCAUUUUUGCCCAAUGUGAUUACAAACUCAAAUUAACAACAUUUCAUCCCACAUUGAUCAAACAACUCCCCAAUUCCAUAUAUGCAUCUGCUUCAGUACUUGAACAAUCUAACUAAGCCCAAUACAGAACUCUCAUCAUAGCUCAAAAAAGAUAGAAGCUUUUCCACAUUUCAGCUCACAAAAACCCUAAACCAUAAACUACACAUCGAAAUUGCAGUUAAACUGCAGCAUAAAAUUAGAGAGAUUGAGUUCCCCAGAGCUAAAAAUCAAGCUCAAUAGAGACGAUCAAGGUGUUUGUACAGCAAAUCACCCACAGAAAAAAGAAGAGCAAUUCGGCCCGAGAUUUAAGGAAACCCUAGAUGAGUGAAGAAGAAGAGUACCUGUGAUCUCGGCGAGGGUUUCGGGGUUUGAGAGAGAGAGAAAGGAGAAGAGAGCGGGAAGGAGUAGAGAGGAGGAAUGGGUUUCCCAAUCUGGGCCUAUUAAUGGAGACGGACACGUGUCGAUAAGACACUGGAUGAGGAACGCGGCGUGUAAAGUAGGCGGAGGGAAACGUGGCGGCCUUUCAUUGGAAAGGACUAAACACAUGAGAUUUUAUUUAUUAUUAUUAUUAUUAUUAUUUUUUUUUUGGAAAGACAAAAUAUGGAUUUUUGAAUGUGAUUUUCUCAUGCACAAAACUUAAACCAACAAUAAGUCAGAUAACCAUAAGCACAAGCUGAGAGUACCUUUAGGUGCUGCAAUGCCACAUUUGUAUAAUAAAAGGAGUACUACCUCAGUUUGCUGGAAAAAAACCAGGAUAUAUGAUUCAAAGUUUCACUGAAGCUAGCUACUACAGAAACAUCAAAAGACAGAUGAUUCACAUUCAAAAAUAUAUACACCCACGGAUAAAUAUCAAAACCAUAAUUCAUUUCCGGAAAAUAAGUUCAUACGCAGGGUGUAUUGAUUUGAUCCGCUCAUCGGUCUGAUAUGAAGUAGCAGCACUAUCCAUGCGUCGCCAAACGUUAAGUUGCUUCUAGUCUAGCACAAUCGGUUCAAUGUUGAGGUUCCCGUUCUUGUCUUCCCCCCUUUCAGUAUCUUUCUUCACCUGGUUCACAACAGGGCGAGCUCUUCCAGAAGGUAAAAAGCCAGAAGGUUUGGCUAUGGUGACAGUGCUUCUCCGAUCAAAAAGACUGGAAGGCAAAGAAGCAGGAUCAAACUCGAAAGAAUCUGCAGGAACACCGUAUCCUUCACGACCGGUCAUCUUGUGAGAGGGAAUCUGAUGAGAAAAUCUAUAUAGCUCAUUAGGUGACACUUGAAACCUGAGAACCCCAUGCUGCUCAGCUGGCUCAAACAAACUGACAAAUCCUUUUACUUUCCCUAAAUAAGAAACUCCAGCACCACUCCUUUCAGAAAAAUCUGACUGGAGUUCUACGAAAUCAAACUUGUAUUGUGAAUGCUUUUCAGGCUCAGAACUCCACCCCAAAUCCCAGUCUUGGUAGAGGGCCCAGGUUUCUCCCUUCCUCGGAUAUAUACGAAUAGAGCUCUUAUCCUUGCCUUUUGUGGAGUGUAUAUAUUCAUGAGAAAACACAGUAUCAUCCGUAACUUCUUCAGUGAGCGCAAGUCCAAACUUACCACAUGCAACUGGCAACUUUUUGCUACACCAAUCAACCUCACCUUGGUCAUCAGGAUUAGGCUCCAGCCAGGUGAUUUUCACCUUAAAUCCAGGGCUCAAUACUUUCCUGAUACAUGCAUAGUGUCUUGGCAUGCCAUCUGCUGGAUCAUAGAGAACCCAUGUUUGAUGGGCUUUAAUAGUUCUCUGUAACUCAGCUUUACUGAGCGCAA
rnacentral:lncRNA from 1 species